CCAUCUAUCCUUCCAUCCCUCCAUUUGCCCAUCCACCGAACCAGUAAGAACUUCAUCAGCACCUGCUGUAAGCUCACUUCAGGCUCAGUGGUGGUGACUGCUGGGUGUUUGGGGAGCCAGGCACCCCCAUGUCUCCCUUCUAGGUUCUCACCAGUAGAGAGCAGACCCUGGGAGCCAGGAGCUGCUUUAACAGAGGCAGCAGGACCCCCAUUUCCCAAAGCCCAGUACAUAACAGCCACCACUUUAGGUGCUGGGAACAGCACGGGGAGCAGACCAGCUUUGCCUUUUCUGGGGCGUCAGCUGGUUGGAACCCACAGCAUGUGACGUGUCCCACCAGCUCCCUUCACUGGGCGACGUGCCUUUGUCAGCUCACAUUGCGGCGCUCGCUGGGCCUUGUCCCGCUGGGGGCUCUGG